GUAAGGGACCUCCCAGGACAAGCUGAGCACCUGGGGGCCCAAGUGCACAGCUUGGAGCAGGACCUGGGGGUGGGGGACCUCCAGGUGCAAGCAGGGCACUUAGAGGCCCAGAUAAAUAGCCAGGAACAGGAUUUAGCAACAGCUGUCAGCCCGGCCUUGAGCCCAUCCUCCUGGCGGGACACUCCGAUUCAGUCUGAUGCUGAGGAGGAGGUUCCUCCACUGCUGGAUCACCCUGUGAUCCAUCAGAAGGUAGAACAUGAGCAGCCAAUGGGACCGCAGGCGAGAUCCCAGGACCCCUCACAGUGGUGGCACAUACCUCUUAUAGUGCUUAUACCCCCACUGAUUUGAGGGAAGUAGGUAAACAGUCUGGCAGCGUCUGAAGGAGCUGAUAGCAUUUCUUGCUCCGCCUCUGAGAUGGAGAAUCUGGCUUCUAUCACAACUCACCCUUCCCUUCAUCGGCGGCUGCAGCUGUGCCAACGGUUAACACAAGGGCAAAGUGACUACAUGUAAAUCAAGUGGCUGACGGCAGCCAUACGGACUGUUUGGAAUGAUGCCAGAGAGACCCCAGAAACUGUUUAGAAGCAGCAAUGCCCUUCUUGCCUGGGAUUGGGAUGAUGCAGCUGAGACAGCCUUCCUGGUAGCCAAGUAGGCUAUUCAGCAAGCACAAGCCCUAUGGGUAGUUGACCAGAGGUGCCCAUUUAAGCUAGAUGUGCAUGUGACCACAGAUAGUUUCAGUUAGGGCCUAUGGCAGUGCAUGAGUGCCUGAGUAUGCCAGUAGGCUUUUGGUCCCAAUUAUGCAAGGGAGCUGAGCUCCAGUAUUCCUUGAUACAGAAGCAGUUAGUAAUAAUAGGAUGGGUGUGUUCAUGGAUAACCACCCCCUGGACAGGGAAAGCAGUUAGUAACUGUAUAUACUGCCCUUCAGGCUCAUAAGAGCAUGGCAGGAAUGGCUACAAUCAUCAGGCAGACAACUUUCCCAACAGUGGGGUGGGUACACUCGUGGGUAAUGACCCCAUCGACUGGGACAGCACAGACAUCCACUUUAGCAAAGUGGGGAGCCUACUUACAGCAGUAAAGUACACUGAUUACAAGUCCCUUAGCAGUAGAGUUACAGGAAGUCUUGGGACCUGUAGUCCUAAUGCCAAGUAAGGCCAUGGGGCCUGAGGCACCCCUAAACCCUAAGCCUUCAUCAUUAGGAAGGGCAUUCUCCCAUUCCUAAUAGGGCUUGGUACACAGAUAUGUGUAGGCAGGGAGCUACUGCUGCCUGGAUUGCUGCCACAGUCCAGCCUAGUACUAACACCAUAUGGGUUAAAACCAGGUGUAGGCAAAGUAGCUAAUGAGCUGCACUCAGGGCAAUGUGAACAGUAAUCACCAAUGUUGCAACACCUAUGGUAAUCUGUGCCAACAGCCGAGCAGUUUAUUGAAGCUUAUGUAUGUGAUGGGCUUGUGUGCCCAGAGCCUAUGUAUAAGGCUUAUGUGUCAGGCCUAUGUGCCCAGAAGCCUAUGUGUAUGUAUCAGGCCUGUGUGCCCAAAGCUUAUAUGCCAGGCCUGUGUGCCAAACCUGUGUAUAAAACCUGUGUGUCCAGGGCCUAUGUUUCCCUCAGCCUAGGGGGUGGAGUGUAAGGUACAUGGAUGUGCUUUGGUCAAGGAAUAGGCCAAGGUGGAUAUCCAAGCGAGUUUGGUGCGUGAGUGUGCACCUCCACUUGUUAUAUAACUUGUUUGUGUAAGUUCAUACUUGGCUCUGAGCCACUAUUGCUGUAAAAGGUAGAACUGCCCUGUCGACACUGUGCACAAGAGACAUGGCUCUUGGGGCUCGGCUCAGCUCAACAUGGCUUGACAUGGCGGGCGUGCUGGCGUCCACAGAAAGAGAGAGUCAGGGCUGUCCAUAUUUGCAGAUGCUCCCUGGGGAGCCAGGAUACAGCUUGGAUUGCUUGUGCCCAGAGAAAGAGUUAAGCUGUUGACCCUGAGGCCAAGGGAGAGCAGGCCAUACAGCUGCAGGUGUCGGGGCAGCAGGGGCCACAGAGCGGGAGCAGACAGCCGAGACACAGGCGAACAGUGUAGAGAGCUAGCGUGAGAAAGCUGUUGAUGAGAAG
rnacentral:lncRNA from 1 species